UGGCCUUAAAGAGGGAGACGUUGGGAUCCAACGUUCCUCUAGGGGAAGAGAGAGGACAGCCUCUCAUUCUGGAUUUUUGGCUUUUCCUGGCCAUCCUUAAAAAAAAAAAACAGAGAGCUUCUCGGCUUCGGGACGGUUUGAAGGCAGAAAAAAGAAAUCUUUUAAGUCCUCCUUUCUUUUCUUUCUCGAUCUUCUCUUGAUCGCCCACCAAACUAUUGGGUACGAAAAUACAAAAAAAAGAUCCUGCCGAGUUCAAGAAAAUUUGUAGUAUUGUGCACGUCUACAAAUUCAACAGUUCGUUGUAUCUUGGGGAGGGAUCGCCAGAAUCCGGUGCACGUAGGAGGCGAAUUUCUUUCAAAGACAAUGACUACACGCCUCGGACCGAUCUACAGGUAUUAUCUAUUUUAUUCUGGAUCUAAAGAAAAUGACAUCAAAGAGCUCCGGAGUCUCUUAUCCACAUCGGCUGGAAAAAGGCUUUAGAUGGGAGGCUAACCUCGAUCGCAAGAUCGCGGAGAUGUGCAAUGAGAUCCAAGCCCAGCAAAGAUGAAAGGUCGAAGCAGAAGAUGAUCUGAAGAUGAUGAACAAGCCUCCUUUCACGAAAGAGAUUAUGAGGAGCUUUUGCCAGGAAGGUUCGAGAUGCUUCAGUUACGAUGGUACCAUGGAACUAAUGGGACCAUCUUUCAAAGACUUAAUUUGAAAAGAAUUAGAGAAGGCGAUUAUCAAAGUCCUACAAUGCAAUAACAGAUUCUGUUCAUAAUUACUGUUUAUUCGUGUGAUUUCUAGAAAGAAAAUCAAUAUAUGCAUAUGGACAAAUUGUGGCAUGUAGUUUUCAUUGUUUUCUAGUACAAGUUUCCCCACUUGCCUCUCCUCAAUUAGAGGAAAUUGGAACAA